GAUGAACGCUGGCGGCGUGCCUAAUACAUGCAAGUCGAGCGAACAGAUGCUUUGCUUGCUCCUCUGACGUUAGCGGCGUACGGGUGAGUAACAUGUGGAUAACCUACCUAUAAGACUGCGAUAACUUCCUGAAACCGGUGCUAAUACCGUAUAAUAUAUUGAACCGCAUGGUUCGAUAGUUCAAGCCGGUUUUGCUGUCACUUCUAGCUGUAUCCUCGCCGUAUUAGCUAUUUGGUAAGGUAACGGCUUCCCAAGGCAACGAUGCGUGGCCGACCUGCGAGAGGGUACGCGGACAGUGGGAGUGAGAGGCGGUACAGAGACAUAGGGGAGGCAGAGAUAGGGAAGGGAGGCAGAAGGGGGAAAGACUGAAGGAGCAGCGCAAGGUGAGUGAAGAAGGGCUGCGGAUCGGAAAACGCUGUUAUGAGGGAAGAACAAAUGUGGAAGGAACGAUGCACGUCGUGACGGUACCUAAACAGAAAGCAACGGCUAACUACGUG
rnacentral:rRNA from 1 species